GGUUGGGUAAAGGCAUCACUGGCCACAGAGGUUUCCGGCCAGAAAAGUAACACCCAAAGAUCCUGUUACAGUCAUUUAGCUGUUAUUUCUUGAAGGUCCUUCUGUGAUCAUCUCCCCCUAACUGUGGAUUCGACCAGUGACUUGUUUCUAAGGAAUAGAAUAUGUUGAUCACUGGAAUGGUUGUAAACAUCUUCAUUCAUCUGGUUUUGAUAUAGAAGGAGGAUGACACUUCUCAAAUGCAUCAACAACGGAGAAAGAAUAAUUCACAAACUACUUAUCACAAGGUAA